rnacentral:rRNA from 1 species
AUUGAACGCUGGCGGCAGGCCUAACACAUGCAAGUCGAGCGGAUGAAGGGAGCUUGCUCCUGGAUUCAGCGGCGGACGGGUGAGUAAUGCCUAGGAAUCUGCCUGGUAGUGGGGGAUAACGUCCGGAAACGGGCGCUAAUACCGCAUACGUCCUGAGGGAGAAAGUGGGGGAUCUUCGGACCUCACGCUAUCAGAUGAGCCUAGGUCGGAUUAGCUAGUUGGUUGGGUAAAGGCCUACCAAGGCGACGAUCCGUAACUGGUCUGAGAGGAUGAUCAGUCACACUGGAACUGAGACACGGUCCAGACUCCUACGGGAGGCAGCAGUGGGGAAUAUUGGACAAUGGGCGAAAGCCUGAUCCAGCAAUGCCGCGUGUGUGAAGAAGGUCUUCGGAUUGUAAAGCACUUUAAGUUGGGAGGAAGGGCAGUAAGUUAAUACCUGGCUGUUUUGACGUUACCAACAGAAUAAGCAACGGCUAACUUCGUG